rnacentral:rRNA from 1 species
GAUGAACGCUGGCGGCGCGCCUAACACAUGCAAGUCGAACGGUUAAAGCAUCUUCGGAUGUGCAUAAAGUGGCGAACGGCUGAGUAACACGUGGGCAACCUGCCCCUCGCAUCGGGACAGCCUCGGGAAACCGUGGUUAAUACCGGAUACUCCGCCACCCCCGCAUGGGGGAGGCGGGAAAGCCCAGACGGCGAGGGAUGGGCCCGCGGCCUGUUAGCUUGUUGGUGGGGCAGUGGCCCACCAAGGCGAUGAUGGGUAGCCGGGUUGAGAGACCGACCGGCCAGAUUGGGACUGAGACACGGCCCAGACUCCUACGGGAGGCAGCAGUGGGGAAUCUUGCACAAUGGGCGAAAGCCUGAUGCAGCGACGCCGCGUGCGGGACGAAGGCCUUCGGGUCGUAAACCGCUUUCAGCAGGGACGAGGCC